CCUACGGGAGACUGCAGUGGGGAAUAUUGGGCAAUGGGCGCAAGCCUGACCCAGCAACGCCGCGUGAAGGAAGAAGGCUUUCGGGUUGUAAACUUCUUUUCUCAGGGACGAAGCAAGUGACGGUACCGGAGGAAUAAGCCACGGCUAACUACGUGCCAGCAGCCGCGGUAAUACGUAGGUGGCAAGCGUUAGCCGGAUUUACUGGGUGUAAAGGGCGUGUAGGCGGGGACGCAAGUCAGAUGUGAAAACCACGGGCUCAACCUGUGGCCUGCAUUUGAAACUGUGUUUCUUGAGUACUGGAGAGGCAGUCUGACUUCCUAGUGUAGCGGUGAAAUGCGUAGAUAUUAGGCGGAACCCCAGUGGCGAAGGCGGUCUGCUGGACCGCAACUGACGCUGAGGCGCGAACGCGUGGGGAGCAAACAGGAUUAGCUACCCGGGUAGUC
rnacentral:rRNA from 1 species